UACGUAGGGGGCAAGCGUUGUCCGGAUUUAUUGGGCGUAAAGAGCGUGUAGGCGGCUUGGCAGGUCCGUUGUGAAAACUCGAGGCUCAACCUCGAGACGCCGGUGGAAACCCCCUGGCUAGAGUCCGGAAGAGGAGAGUGGAAUUCCUGGUGUAGCGGUGAAAUGCGCAGAUAUCAGGAAGAACACCCGUGGCUAAGGCGGCUCUCUAGUACGGUACUGACGCUGAGACGCGAAAGCGUGGGGAGCGAACAGG
rnacentral:rRNA from 1 species